UACGUAGGUGGCAAGCGUUGUCCGGAUUUACUGGGCGUAAAGAGCGCGCAGGCGGUCAGAUAAGUCGAAUGUGAAAGCCCCCGGCUCAACUGGGGAGGGUCAUUCGAUACUGUUCGACUCGAAGGCAGGAGAGGGUAGUGGAAUUCCCGGUGUAGUGGUGAAAUGCGUAGAUAUCGGGAGGAACACCAGUGGCGAAGGCGACUUCCUGGCCUGUUCUUGACGCUGAGGCGCGAAAGCUAGGGGAGCAAACGGG
rnacentral:rRNA from 1 species